ensembl:lncRNA
CAGUGUCUCUAAACUUUGGGAGAAAGAAAAACUCAAGUGUGCUUGGGUUCUGCAGCAGGACAAUGAUCCAAAACACACCAACAAGUUUACCUCUGAAUGGCCUAAGAAAACUAAGAAGACUUUGGAGUGGCCUAGACAAAGUCCUGACUUGAAUCUGACUGAAAUACUGUGGCAUGAUCAUCAAAUUGGUUUGAUGAUCUGAAAUUUUUAAGUGUGACAAACAUACAAAAAAUAAGGGGAAAUACUUUUUUCACACCAUUAUAUGUAUAUGUUUUUAAAGCUUGUGUAUAAGUCCAUAACAUCUUAGCUUCAUCUAGCCAUGAAUCAAAGUCUGUGUGUCUUCUGUUGAAUUAAAGGUGAAGUUUCAGAACAUCGGAGAGGAAAUGUAGCUGAUCCAGACAGUGUUACAUAUGCUGCUGUCACAGCCAAACCAAAGAGGGAGAGAGUUUGUAAACAGACAAAUGAAUCAGAUCCAGACAAAACAACAUAUGCUACUGUUGCAAAUCAGAGGACAGACAGAGGUCAUUGACAUAAAAAAAGACAUCUCAAUACAGAAAAAUUUAAGACAUGAAUCUGAAGCUUUUUAUAUAUUUUAUUGUGGGUUUUAUUUUUUUUUUGGAUGCAUUACAAUGUCCUGCUUAAACAAUUUCUUUUGGCUAUGUUGCAGUGCUACAGAUUGUUACUGAUUGUAAAUCUAAGUCUUAUUAUUUCUUCAGACAUGUCAGAUAAAUAUAUAUUGAUGUUAAAAUUAAUUUAAAAUGUUAAAUUAAAAAAAGUAGAAAUAAAUCAUUAAAUAUAGGUUUUGAUAAAUGUUCUCAAAUACAGGAAAGUAGAGUUGCAACCUAAAAACUUAAAAAAAAAAACCCCUGUGAUUUAAAAAUUAAAGGCAGUGGAUUAUUAUAGACUAACAGGUUAUACCAAAAUGUGCUAUUGCUGCUGUGAAGAUGCAGUGGGACAGAUACACUAUACUGCUAAACAUAUUCAGAUGAUUGAAUUCAAGUGUUCCAAUCACUUCACUGCCACAGGUGUAUAAAAUCAAGCACCUAGGCAUGCAGACUGCUCCUUUGAGAAAGAAUGGGUGCUUAUACCAAAGCAGAAGAGAUUGGGAACAACCCAGUUGCAGAGUGGGGUCAGCAGACUUUAUGCGGCUUUUAGAUCAGAUAAAGAACAAUGCAUAGAGAGCGUCAUGGAAUUGGAUUUCAUAGCUGAGCAGCUGCAUCCAAGCCAAGUACAAUGCAAACCAUUAGCUGCAGUGGUGUAUAGCAGAGCACCACUGGACUCUAGAGCAGUGGAGACAUGUUAAGGCCAGGAGAACCUUACUCGUCUGAUUGCAUUGUCCCAAGUUUGGUGUAGGAGGGGAAUUUUGGUGUGGGGUUGUAUUUCAGGAGUUGGGCUCAGCUCCUAAGUUACAGUGAAAGGAACUCUUAAUGCUUCCACAAACAAAGAUAUUUUUGACAAUUUCAUGCUGACUGGCCUGUACAGAGUCUUGACCUCAACCCGAAAGGACACUUUGGGGUUUGAAUUAGGGUGCAGACUGCUUGCCAGAUCUUUUUGUCCAUUUGUGUCUGACACCACAAAUGUGUUUCUGUAAGAAGAGUCAAACAAUUUCCAUAAACACGCUCCUAAACCUGUGGAAAGCCUUCCCUGAAGAGCGGAGAUAGCUGCGUAGAAUGGGUCAACAUUAUUAGACACUAUGGAUUAAGAAUAGGAUGUCAAUCAAGUUCAUAUGUGUGUGAAAGCAGAUGAGUGCAUCCUUUUGGCAAUUUAUUACACACAUGACCUGCUAUAUAGGCUAUUAAAUGUUAAUUUUUACAUAAAUUCAGGUUAUAAGCAUGUGUGAUAUGAAAUAUGUGAUAUGAAAAUUACUUAUGAUAGAACAAGUGUGAUCUUCAAAAAUAAACAUGUAGCAUUCAGAUCAUGUUGAUCAAUAAAAAUUUGCAGAGCAGAAUUAUGUGUGCUUAUUCAUUUACACAUGAUUUCAAAUGUGAAAACAAAAAAUAAUAAAUAAAAAAAUACGUAAACUUAUGACUUGUUAUACCACCCUUGCAAUAUUUCCUUCUGAGGCGGAAUCUUGACCCCUUUUUCUUUGCAGAAUUGCCUUUUUCAUUUUUCAUUGUUUUUGCACAUGAACACCCUGUUUAAGAUCUUUCAGCUUUCAGCUUUUCAGCUUUUCUCCAUUUGAGGAUGAUGACUGUAUCACUGUUGCUGCGUCUCAAAGCUUUAGCUGUGGCUUUGUGAUCCUCUCCAGAUUGUUAGAUCUCAAUAACUUAGUUUCUCAUGUAUUUCUUGUAGUGUGGUGUUGCUUUUUGAGAAUUCUCAGCCUGCUUCACUUUGUCAGACAUGUUCUAUUUAACUGAUUUCUUAAUUCCUCAGCAAUCACGCCUAGAUGUGCCUAGUGAAAGUGAAGGUUUUUGUUUUAAGGUUUCUUUUUCUUUUCUUUUUUUGGUGUUUACACAUGCAUACACCAGUUUGGACCAGUAGAUUGUUGGAAUAGAUGAGCAAAAUGCCAAAACUGCUUUUAUUGGGUGGUCACACUUGUUGGUUAUCAGUUAAUCAAGUGCAAGAGCUACAUAACUAUGAUUUGAUUACCACAUAUGCUAAUUUCAAAUGCAAAUGCAUUUAUUUAUGUAUUGAACCAAAGAGAUUACAGUUAAAUACCAGUCAAAUGUUUGGACAUGCUUUCUUAUUCAAUGUUGUGUUGUUGUUUUUUUUCAUGACAUUUCCGUGACUUUUUAUGUUGUAGAUUCUCACUGAAGGUAUCAAAACUAUGAAUGAACACAUACACAAUUAUGAAGUAAACGAA